GGGAUUAUAGUAUAGUGGUCAGUAUAUCUCAUUGUGGUCUUCCGCAAGGUUCUGAGACGACGCAGGUUCGAUUCCUGCUAAUCCCA